UCAGGAUGGUAUCGCAGCUGAACUCAUCAAGAUGGGCCCAAAAAAGUUGGCCACCUGUCUGCAUCGGCUGAUAGUCAGGAUCUGGGAAACCGAACAGCUACCGGAGGAGUGGAAGGAAGGGGUAAUCUGCCCCAUUCCCAAGAAAGGCGACCAUUUGGAAUGUGAGAACUUCAGGGCGAUCACUAUUUUGAAUGCUGCCUACAAAGUGCUAUCCCAGAUCAUCUUCCGUCGUCUGUCACCUAAAACAAAUGAGUUCGUGGGAAGUUAUCAAGCCGGCUUCAUCGACGGCCGGUCGACAACGGACCAGAUCUUUACCGUACGGCAAAUCCACCAGAAAUGCCGUGAAUACAAGGUCCCAACGCACCACCUGUUCAUCGACUUCAAAGCGGCAUACGACAGUAUCGACCGCGAAGAGCUAUGGAGAAUCAUGGACGAAAACGGCUUUCCUGGGAAGCUGACUAGACUGAUUAAAGCAACGAUGGACGGUGUGCAAAACUGCGUAAGCGUUUCGGGUGAACUAUCCAGUUCAUUCGUAUCUCGCCGGGGACUGCGACAAGGUGACGGACUCUCAUGUCUACUCUUCAACAUCGCGCUGGAAGGUGUGAUGCGACGAGCCGGGGUACGAUUUUCACAAAAUCCGGUCAAUUUGUGUGCUUUGCGGACGACAUGGACAUUAUCGCUAGAACAUUUGGAACGGUGACAGAACUGUACACCCACCUGAAACGCGAAGCAGCAAAGGUCGGACUGGUGGUGAAUGCCUCAAAAACAAAGUACAUGCUGCUAGGCGGAACCGAACACGACCGGAUCCGUAUGGGUAGUAAUCGUACGAUAGACGGGGAUACCUUCGAGGUGUUGGAGGAAUUUGUCUACCUCGGAUCCUUACUGACGGCUGACAACAACGUGAGCCGUGAAAUUCGGAGGCGCAUCAUGAGCGGAAGUCGGGCCUACUACGGGCUCCAGAAGAAACUGCGGUCGAAAAAGAUUCACCCACGCACCAAAUGCGCCAUGUACAAAACGCUAAUAAGACAAACUCUAAUAAUUUUGUGGGCUUCGUGGCCGAGCGGUUAGCGGCGGCAGUCGUGUAGGUGUCUCGUAAGCCUCGGAGUGCGGGUUCGAUUCCCGCUCCAGUCGGGGAAAACUUUUCGUCAACGGAAAAUUCUCCUCUGGGCCACUGGGUGUUAUAUGUGUUGUCCGUUGUCGUAUGUUUGUAAUGUUCAGUCUGUAGAGGGCGCAAGGUCGAAGACGGUGUAAUUGUCUCUUUAGACCUGUAGUCCUCUACGGGCACGAGACAUGGGCCACGCUCGAGGAGGACCUGCAAGCACUCGGAGUUUUCGAGCGACGCGUGCUAAUGACGAUCUUUGGCGGUGUGCAGGAGAACGGUAUGUGGAGGAGAAGGAUGAACCACGAGCUCGCUGCACUUUACGGCGAACCCAGCAUCCAGAAGGUGGCCAAAGCCGGAAGGAUACGGUGGGCAGGGCAUGUUGCAAGAAUGCCGGACAACAACCCGGCAAAGCUGGUGUUUGCAACUGAUCCGGUUGGCACAAGAAGGCGUGGAGCGCAGAGAGCACGAUGGGCGGACCAGGUGGAGCGUGGCGAGCAUUGGGAGCGACCGAGGAUGGAGAGCGGCAGCCACAAACCGAGUAUUGUGGCGUACUAUUGUUGAUUAUGUCUUGUCUUAAUGAUGUUGAACAAAUAAAUGUAUGUAUGUAUGGACAUCUUUGAUGCCGGCCCUUUGCACCACACCACUGAAACUCAACUCAACACAGGUUAAUGAUUUAAGAGAAUAAAAAAUAUUCUUAUCAACCUUAUUUCGAAAACUAAAAAAAAAAAAUAUUGCAUACCUAUAUGUAGAUAUCUUAUUUAUUAAAUUGUUAAUCUUUUGUCCAGCACUGUUGAUAGCAGAUGGCCUUCGACAUCCCUAAUAAUAUCCAUCCUUGUGGAGCCAAGCAAGGCAACCAACAUCGGUGUAUGCUCUCGUCUCGACGACGUAGGACCCCGUUAUACACCAGAGCCCUCCAUCUCCUCCUUGCAGCAGCGCUCAGCAGAGAAGCCCUACGUGGCCCUCCUUGCUAUACCUAGUUUAAGUUUCCUUCACGUUUCCUUUUAACUUGCUGGUUGUUGAGAUUCGAAUAGCUGAUGUUUGGCUCCCAGCCAGUCAGUCAGUUAGUCGGUCGGUCGGUUGCUUGGUCGGCUGGUUAGUCUGGGCCGGUUUAAAGCACACCCGAGCAAAAGAGAGAAUACGGCGUGGCGGCGUGACUGGCUGGUUGGCUGGUGGGAGCCCUCGGUCGGUUGGCCUCGCGCACGAGGAGCGCAUUUAGUCUUGCCAGUGUUGUUGAACUCAGAUGACGCUUAGAUAGCCUCCACAUCGCACACUAUCGGUGACGACGCAACGUUACGUAGUCGUGGUGAGUCGCGCGGGAGUUUCGGACGGACCUUCUCGAUCUCGACGCCGCGAUCGUUUGAGUUCUUUGUUGUGUGCUGGUUUAUGCUCGCGCGCGCCUUCGCUCGCUCCCAAAGUUUUUGGCAGUUGAAACCUGUUCCAGUGAUGGUGCCCCUAUAGGGGAGGGCUGGUGAAUAAGAGUGUGUGUGCUGCGGGAGUUUGCGCCGUUUUUUUGUUAUUCUGUUUAUCUACUGACGAGAAAAUGAGAGUGAAAAUUGCUGCCACCCACCGUCGCCACCAAGGCCACAAUAAAGUGUGAAGCUGAUAUAGUGAAUUGUUUUCUUUCUUGUGCGUACCAUAUCAAAUGCUCACGUGUUGCCGGAAUCUGUUGAUCCAUUGGUGAUGCUGCUAUUCUGUGUGGUGAACGUGUGAAUGAAAAAUGAUCUAAAUCUAUCUUGAAUCGACGACGACUUCCGAACAACAAUAACAACGACGACAUCGCGCCAUAUCCCGACUUUCCCCCGAAAAUAAUGGUUCGAUUUGGGAAGAAAGAAAGCGCCGAGAGGCGCCAGCUGUUGGCCAGUAUGAGCUCGAUGCACUACAACAGCUCCAAGCAGAUCGAUAAUGCCGCCUUCCAACAUGUUCGGGAUAAUGUGGAAGACCUCAGUGAAAAGUCGGAAGCCAACGAGACGGAUUUGGUGUUCCUGCAAGGCAUACUGCAGAACCCCGCCGUUACGCAAAUGAUCAAGGUGAGUCAUUUGAAGUUAUUAUUAUCGUUACACUUCACCACUGGUGUUGACAUUCAUGUCCAAUUCAUUGGGUUUGAAGUUUUAUGAACUAUUUAUAAACCACGUCGUUUCACAGUUUGAGUUUCACGGAGCAUGUCGUCAGUCGAUACAUAAACAUAGAAGAUGACUCGCUACAGACGAGUGACGAGAGUGAUGAUGACGAUGCACACAUGAGUUAAUUCAAUGCGACUGGUGAUGUUUGAUGUGUGUCAAAAUGUGUUAAUUGAAUUAUAUAUUAGUGUUGUUGUUUGUUAGGUAAUGUUACGCGUCAAAGAGAAUAUCUAGGAUUUUUGAAACAAACUGCGACUUAGAAAUUUGAAAGUUUGGAAAGGCAAAACAAUCUCUCAGCUUUUUAUUAUCUAGUAAUCGGGUAUACGCUUAUGGUACAUUACACAACACAGUUCCAUUACAAUACUAAAUUACUUUUAAGUAUUUGGUGGAUCCAUAAAUUAUGGGAUUAUUGAUGAACCUAUACACAUUUGAGAAAUUUUUUAUUCGUUUUCUUGAGAUGAUCUUAAUGACAUUUAUGAAAAUAAUUUUGAUUUUUGGAAAGCUUCUGUUGAUAAUAUAAUUAUGAGUGAAGCCAUAAUGGAAUAUUAUGAUGAGAUACAAUAAAAAAACUCUUUAAAAGUGAAUGUAGCAUUGGGCAAAUCUGGCUGAGGCAUCGGUUUUUGUGAUUGGUUUAAUUGGUUCAGCAGAAUCGAUUCACCGAUUUAAUCGAAUGCUUUUAAUCGAUGUUUUCACAUCGAUUCGAUAUUACAAAACUAUAAAAUGAUUCGUUUGCUGCAUGUAGUAAGUUCAUAGUAUGUUUUAUUUGUCUAAAUAAAUUCAAUAUCAAAAUUUGAGAUUGCGCAUCGAACAUUUCGCACCUCUGAUACGAAAACGAAUUUAACAUUGAAACAGUGCGUUUUGAAAAAUAAUAUGAAACUAAUAUUUUUGAAUCCAAAGAAAAAUCCUAAGAUCCUGAGAUUCCCCAGAACUCUGAGAAGUAUUCCCAUAUAGUACCGGGAAAAAUUCCCGCAGACUGCUGAGACAAUUUUUCCCAGAAUCUUUAAAGAGACUCCUUAAGAAUUCUGAAUGGAGUUACUCUAGAAUUAUGAGAGAGGUUUCUUUAGAAUGCUGAAAAUGAUUACACCAGAAUCCUGAGCGACAUUACCUAGAAAAUAAAGCAAGACUCUCUCGGUAUCUUGGUAGGAAUUCCCUCUGAAUUUUAUUAGGAAUUUUCCUAGAAUCCUGAGAGAGAUUACUCCAUAUCUAUGAGACGGAUUGUCUCAGAGUCCGAGAGGAAUUCUCCCAGAAUCCUCUGAUAGAUUGUCCCUUGAGAUUCUCCAAAUAUGUUCCAGAAUCCUAGAAGGGCUUAUCUCAAAAUCCUGAGAGAAAUUCCAAGAGCAAUUCUUCCACAUUUUUUAGAUAACUUCAUCUAGAAUACUGAGAGAUUCUCACAAAUAAAGAUUUUCGGAAUUUUAAGAUGAAUCCCCCAAGAAACUUAAAAGAAAUAAUCAAGAAUCCUGAAAAGGGUAGCUUAGAACCCCAAAAAGAAUUACUCAAGAAUCAUGAGGAAGGUUCCCUCAAAAUACUGGGCGGGAUUGCCAAAGAAACUUUUAAGUAUUCUCCCUCAAUUCCCCUAAAAUCCUGGGUGAAAUUCUUUAGAAUGCUAUGCUGAGGAUAAUUCUGCCAAAAUCCCGAAAGGUAUUCCUACAAUUCUACGAGUGAUUCCCCCAGAAUCAUGAGGUGGAUCAUACAAGGGGUUGUUCCAGAUUCUUGUCAGGGACUGCUCCAGAAUACAGAAAACAGAACUCUACUGAAAUUCUCGUAGAAUGCUGAUGUUGCGACGAGUUUGCGAUGAAACUGGCAACACUGCAACAAUUGCUUUUGCAGGCAGAACGAUAUAAUUGAUAAGGUAGUUGUAAAGUAGAAGAGACUGUGAAAAGAUGGGAGUAUGUUCCUUUGGGCCGCAAGAAUUGUAUACUAGAAUGUAAGUUUUAAUGAAUUGUAUUUAGAUUUUGUAUUUAGGCCGUUACAAAUAUUUAUUUCACUUUUUGUCCCACCACUCUUUGGCUGGUCGAGGGGGGGGGAUAAAAAUAAUAAAGCAUUUAAUCUUAAAAAUAUUAAAAACUCAUCGGAUUUGUUAAAGAAUUUUUAGCAAAACCCGAUAUUUUGAUAAAUAUUGUUUUGUCUGCCCCCUCAAAAUGCAAAAUCCAGCCAAAAAUUUUUGAAGGGGGGGGGGAGACAAAAAGUCAUAAUUAAAUUUGUAUCAGCCUUAUUAUUUAAAAAUAAAUUUCAGCUUUGAAGCUGUGUCUAAGGAACACUGCCGUCAAAAAGUAUCCCUUCAGCCAGAGAAACCGACUCUCAACAGCUGAAAAGCAUUUCUUCCGAACCCUAAGAGGAAUCACAAAAUCUAUGCAGGUGAUUCUCCUAAAUCCAAAUUUCUCUAGAGAAUUCUACCCAGAAUCUCUUGAAAGAUUCUUCUAUAAUUAGGCGGU